rnacentral:rRNA from 1 species
AAAAAGGCGGAAGAGACAUUAGGCCCCUUCUUUGUUGAAAGGCCGGAACUCCACAAAGCAUUUUAAUUAUGUGUUGACCACAGCUUAACCCCAGAAGAGUUCGAAACGAGCUGGAAGGCAAUGACAGAAAAGUACCAAAUGCACGACAAUGAUAGCCUACAGAACCUUUGGAAUAAGAGAAAAUUCUGGGUGCCAGCUUAUUUUAUGCAGUGUUUCUACCCCUUCAUGCAGACUGCCCAAGGAAAUGAGGGGUUUAACACUGUUAUAAAAAGGUAUGUGAACCCUAGCAAUUCAAUUCUCAGAUUUGUCCAGCAGUACAACGCAAUACAACAAAAAAUUCUAUGCGCGGAGCUACAACAGUUGGCAAACACAACACUCAAAAACCCCCAGCUAUACUCAUGCAAUCGGUUGGAGAGAGAGAUGAUGAGAAUUUAUACACAACAAAUUUUCUACAGGUCAGUGUCUUUCUUCCAAAGCGUAUGUGAAAUUCAAUGA